rnacentral:rRNA from 1 species
UACGUAGGUGGCAAGCGUUGUCCGGAUUUACUGGGCGUAAAGAGCGCGCAGGCGGUCGUUCAAGUCGCGUGUGAAAGCCCCCGGCUCAACUGGGGAGGGUCACGCGAUACUGAUCGACUCGAAGGCAGGAGAGGGUAGUGGAAUUCCCGGUGUAGUGGUGAAAUGCGUAGAUAUCGGGAGGAACACUAGUGGCGAAGGCGACUACCUGGCCUGUUCUUGACGCUGAGGCGCGAAAGCUAGGGGAGCAAACGGG